UACGUAGGGUCCGAGCGUUGUCCGGAGUUACUGGGCGUAAAGCGCGCGCAGGUGGUCCAUUAAGCCCGGCGUGAAAGCCCCCGGCUCAACCGGGGAGGGUCGUCGGGGACUGGUGGACUUGAGGGCGGCAGGGGCUGGGUGGAAUCCCCGGUGUAGUGGUGAAAUGCGUAGAGAUCGGGGGGAACACCCGUGGCGAAGGCAGGUCUCUGGGCCACUACUGACGCUGAGAAGCGAAAGCGUGGGGAGCGAACAGG
rnacentral:rRNA from 1 species